rnacentral:lncRNA from 1 species
AUCAGAAUUUCUCAAGAUCAAAACGAAACCUUCUCUUUAAAAAGGAAAGAAAGUACUAUCGAUACAGAAAGCAAAAGUAUUUCCAGUCUCCUACUGAACUGUCACGGCAGACCUCUCUGUAUCUAUAUUUAGAGCUGUAUGUCCAUAUAUUUGCCUGAAUGUGUGAGUUCUUGGAAGUAUGGAUUCAUUGCCAGGAGCUGGUGAUUUCCUAAGCAGAGGUCGCUAACUACAAGAAAUGUUACACUCGGACAAGUCCUGCGCUUGGGGAUCCUCUGUACGCCCGUUCACUGAAUCUUUCACAAAAGUCCUGUGUCGUCCUUGUCCUGGCCAACUAGACUCAGAGGGAGGACUGAUGGAUUUUCAUCUCCCUCUUCCCCUUCGUCUUUUCUUCUCAGCAUCUUCCUACCCUCCCCACCACCGCGCUUCUCCACCAAAAGUCUGAUGCUGGCAUGUAAUGGACCCUUUCCAAGUUUCAAGGUGUUGACAGUAAAUCUUUUGUAUUUAGACCGGG